ACAGGCUAAGACUAGACUUGAAGAUCAACCCUAAUUCAUCCAGGCUGGGAAGGCAGCAGAUGAGGGAUGUGUGUAUGUGUGUGUGUGUGUGUGUGUGUGAGUAGGGGUUGAAAGUGUGGAGUGCGGGGAAUUUGUAUUCUUGUUUUAGAUGGAAGGCACAGAUCCAUGAAACCAUUGGCCUCUAGGAGGCACUGUGGGCCCAUGGUAAGCAGGGUGUGCUGGGAGGGGUUGAGAGUCACCCUGGAGAGGGUAGCUUAGGGGAAGCUUGGCUACAUGCCUGCAUCAGAAAGUAGGUUUGAGCUCCCUGAGUAGUCCAGGGAUGCAUGGACUCAGCACAGACUCCUCACUGCCCAGGGGAAUGGGGACAUGCCUGGAGCUUCAGGAUACGCCCAGGGAAUCUUCUCCUGGACAGCAUGGGGAGUGGAGGGUGAAGGGAUUAGUGUGGCUGGUGAGGGCUGGGUGAUGAGUGUCUGGCAGGGACAGGAAGAGAAGAAAAAGGCAUGUUAUGGGCAUAUGGGGACAUGGGCACAGUGCUCUCUUCACACCCACCCUUGGCUGAGGGGCUGUGCAGAACAAGGAAUGCCUUAGAGGAACCAGCCCUGGGUCCUGCCAAGGGGUCCAGUGGACAAGGGCAGCCUGCAGAGGCACAGAGCAGUGAUAUCAUAGGCAAAUGCUCCAAUCAGGGAAGCAGGAGGGUCAACACUUUACACCACUCACCCCAGAAGCCCUGCCCCCAGCCAACAGUAGUCCUGGGUUCCUGAUGCUGCCAUGGGCUCCAGGCUCCUCUGCUGUGUGACUCUAAGCCUCCUGGGAGCAGGCCUGGUGGAUUCUGAAGUCACCCAGACACCCAAGUACCUGAUCAAAUCAAGAAAACAGCAAGUGAUACUGAGAUGUUCCCCUGAGUCUGGACACCAAUCUGUGUACUGGUACCAACAGGCCCUGGGCCAAGGCCUCCAAUUCCUCAUUCAGUAUUACAAUAGGGCAGAGUAUGAGAAAGGAAACAUAUCAGAUCGAUUCUCAGGAAAACAGUUCAGUGACUCUAGCUCUGAGCUGAACUUGACUUCCUUGGAGCUGACGGACUCAGCCAUGUACCUCUGUGCCAGCAGCCAAGACACAGCCGUGCAUGAUCAGGUGCCUCUGGGACAAAAACACUCCUGCCCCAGCUCAGGAAGUGGUGCCUGAGUGUCAGCUACCAGCCUGCCAAGCCCAGUCUCUGGUGGAGUGAUAGACUUUCCCAGACAUUCACUUCUUGAUAUGUUUUAAUGCUCACUAACGUCAUCAAGGUAAGUACCCUUUUAUCUGUUUGUACAUCUCAGGGGACGUGAGUUGCCCAGAUCUCAUACUUCAUAAGUGUCUCAGCGAGCAUCCCGGUUCAAGUGUGUUCUCAACACCCGUGGUCCCUUCGCUCAUGGAACUGUGUACAGAGCAAGUUACAUACACGCAUUGUGUUAUGUGUAACAAGAUACAGUUCCAGGCUCUGUGAUAUGCACUGUUACUCAAUGAAUGGCAGCCACACUUCACAAGGAGGUAUUCCCAUGAGAGGAAUGUCUCAAAUAAAAACGGAGCAUUUUUCAUUACCCUGGCGUCUGCACCUCCCUCUGUCGCUCCUACAUCUGUACUCCUUUGUGCCAAAAUGUCAUUCUGUGCCAGGCAUCUAGCUUAUCUCCACGCAGAAAGGUGGGUCACCGGCAUGAGGGGGCUCUGCUUGCUCCCUCCCCCCAACACGGGAAUCACGGGCUGCCGUGAACAUGAAGGAGCUGUACCUGUGUUUGACCGGUGGAUUGUCUGUCAGUGAAUUGAUUAGAAGCAGACCAAAGAAUUCCUCAAAUGUUGAUGAGCCUGCAAUGAGGUUGGGAGCAGAAACCUGGAGAAACAUGGUAGGUGGAGGGACUGUCUCAGGACUUCGGGCAA